GAGAUCUACGGAUGAAAGCAGGGGAUCGCAAGACCUUGUGCUACUAGAGCGGCCGAUGGCAGAUUAGGUAGUUGGUGGGAUAAAAGCUUACCAAGCCGACGAUCUGUAGCUGGUCUGAGAGGACGAUCAGCCACACUGGGACUGAGACACGGCCCAGACUCCUACGGGAGGCAGCAGUGGGGAAUUUUGGACAAUGGGCGCAAGCCUGAUCCAGCAAUGCCGCGUGCAGGAUGAAGGCCUUCGGGUUGUAAACUGCUUUUGUACGGAACGAAAAGCCCUGGGUUAAUACCCUGGGGUCAUGACGGUACCGUAAGAAUAAGCACCGGCUAACUACGUGCCAGCAGCCGCGGUAAUACGUAGGGUGCAAGCGUUAAUCGGAAUUACUGGGCGUAAAGCGUGCGCAGGCGGUUUUGUAAGACAGAGGUGAAAUCCCCGGGCUCAACCUGGGAACUGCCUUUGUGACUGCAA
rnacentral:rRNA from 1 species